rnacentral:rRNA from 1 species
ACAAAUGCUAGCCCACGCAAAUAUAAACUCAACUAACAACAUAAAAUAAAACAAAACAUUUACCCUAACUAGAGUAUAGGAGAUAGAAAUUUUGACCUGGCGCUAUAGAAAAAGUACCGCAAGGGAACGAUGAAAGACAGAUUAAAAGUAAAAAACAGCAAAGCUUACCUCUUGUACCUUUUGCAUAAUGAUUUAACUAGAAUCACUCGACGAAGAGAACUUAAGCCGAACAACCCGAAACCAGACGAGCUACCUAAGAGCAGCAAAAGAGCCAACUCGUCUAUGUAGCAAAAUAGUGAGAAGACUUUUAGGUAGUGGUGAAAAGCCUACCGAGCCUGGUGAUAGCUGGUUGUCCAGGAUAGAAUAUUAGUUCAACUUUAAGCCAUGCCUAAAAAAACCACAAUUCAAAUGCAGACUUAAAAUAUAAUCUAAGAGGGUACAGCCUCUUAGAAACAGAAUACAACCUUGACUAGAGGGUAAGCACCACAAAAAUUCAUAGUUGGCCUAAAAGCAGCCACCAAUUAAGAAAGCGUUCAAGCUCAACAACCAAACCAAACUUUAAUCCAAAAACUAUUAUGCGAACCCCUAGCCCGACCACUGGACUACUCUAUUACAAAAUAGAGGGAAUACUGUUAAUAUGAGUAACAAGAACUAGCUUCUCCCUGCACAAGCUUAUAUCAGAACGGAUAAUCCACUGAUAGUUAACAACAUAAUAAAUCCAACACCACAAGUAAAAAAUUUAUUGAAUCAACUGUUAACCCAACACAGGAGUGCACUUAAGGGAAAGAUUAAAAGAAGUAAAAGGAACUCGGCAAACACAAACCCCGCCUGUUUACCAAAAACAUCACCUCUAGCAUAACAACUAUUAGAGGCACUGCCUGCCCAGUGACGUCUGUUAAACGGCCGCGGUAUCCUGACCGUGCAAAGGUAGCAUAAUCAUUUGUUCUCUAAAUAGGGACUUGUAUGAACGGCCACACGAGGGUUUUACUGUCUCUUACUUCCAAUCGGUGAAAUUGACCCUCCCGUGAAGAGGCGGGAAUACACAAAUAAGACGAGAAGACCCUAUGGAGCUUUAAUUAAUUAGUCCAAUAAAUAAGCAACCCACACUCCUAAGGGAGACAAGAAACUUUUUAAUGGACCAACAAUUUAGGUUGGGGUGACCUCGGAAUAUAAAACAACUUCCGAGAGACAAAAACUUAGACCAACAAGUCAACGGAUACAGUCAUUUAUUGAUCCAAAAAAAUUGAUCAACGGAACAAGUUACCCUAGGGAUAACAGCGCAAUCCUAUUUGAGAGUCCAUAUCGAUAAUAGGGUUUACGACCUCGAUGUUGGAUCAGGACAUCCCAAUGGUGCAGCCGCUAUUAAUGGUUCGUUUGUUCAACGAUUAAAGUCCUACGUGAUCUGAGUUCAGACCGGAGUAAUCCAGGUCGGUUUCUAUCUAUUCUGUGUUUCUCCCAGUACGAAAGGAUAAGAGAAACAGGGCCUACUUAACAUGAGCGCCCUCAAAGCCAAUAGAUGACACAAUCUUAAUCUAAUAGCAACAACACAACUAAACCCCAAAACAGGGUACA